rnacentral:rRNA from 1 species
GUGGAUUAGAUACCCUAGUAGUCCACGCCCUCAACGAUGUCAACUAGCUGUUGGGUUCUUCGGGACUUAGUAGCGCAGCUAACGCGUGAAGUUGACCGCCUGGGGAGUACGGUCGCAAGAUUAAAACUCAAAGGAAUUGACGGGGACCCGCACAAGCGGUGGAUGAUGUGGAUUAAUUCGAUGCAACGCGAAAAACCUUACCUACCCUUGACAUGUCUGGAAUCCCGAAGAGAUUUGGGAGUGCUCGAAAGAGAACCGGAACACAGGUGCUGCAUGGUUGUCGCCAGCU